CCUACGGGGGGCAGCAGUGGGGAAUAUUGGACAAUGGGGGCAACCCUGAUCCAGCCAUGCCGCGUGAGUGAUGAAGGCCUUCGGGUUGUAAAGCUCUUUUGGCGGGGACGAUGAUGACGGUACCCGCAGAAUAAGCCCCGGCUAACUUCGUGCCAGCAGCCGCGGUAAGACGAAGGGGGCUAGCGUUGUUCGGAAUUACUGGGCGUAAAGCGAGUGUAGGUGGUUGUCAUAGUCAGGUGUGAAAGCCUUGAGCUCAACUCAAGAAAUGCACUUGAUACUGGGCGACUAGAGGACCGGAGAGGAUAGUGGAAUUCCCAGUGUAGUGGUGAAAUACGUAGAGAUUGGGAAGAACACCAGUGGCGAAGGCGGCUAUCUGGACGGUUACUGACACUAAGACUCGAAAGCGUGGGGAGCAAACAGGAUUAGAUACCCUAGUAGUC
rnacentral:rRNA from 1 species